AUCUCAUAGCUUUUAUAAUCUUUGCUGGUUUUUGACCAGAGUUGUCACCUCUGCAGAUCCUGUUCCUGGAGCCACUCUUUCUCUCCCACGUCUGAUCCGAUGCCCAUUUCCAAAUCUCAGGCCAAGUGGGAAGAAUGCCUGCAACUGUCCAGGCUGAUUCUGCAGUCUUAACAAAUGGUUCUUCACUCAAAGCCAGACCUCCUCUUUAUUACAUGAUUAGACCAGUGACCGUCAGCUGUGCACCCCGAGUGCAAUAAUGUUACAGCACAUUGGCAAAAAGGCAACCUUGAGACUUAUGUGGCCCCAGAUGAGAAUAAGCAGGACAGUCAG
rnacentral:lncRNA from 1 species